GGAAGAAAGCUCUGAAGAAGAGGAUGAUCCUUUGGUCCAUCUUGUAAAACCUAGUGUAGCCGAGAAAUUGAGAACUAGGAAAGGGAAAAGUGUGGCUAAAAUGAGAACAGCAAGAGUGAAAAAGGCUGCUGGUGUAGGACCAUCAAAUUCCUGGAGCAAAGUUGAGGUUAGGAAAAGGAAAGAAAGAGACAGUUCUGACUCUGAGGAGGAUGUC
rnacentral:lncRNA from 1 species